UGGGCCCUUUUCACAUCAAAAGUGUAUUAUUAUGUCUGUCCUUCUAUAGACUCUUCAUCAUUGACUAGGAUAGAAUAUGAUUUUUUUUUCUAACACACCUUAAAUUUUUAAAUUUAGUGUCCUUUUGUUACCAGCAUCUUCCACUGUUCAAACAAAGCUGUUUCUUAUGUAGGAAAUUCUAAAUGGCAGCUGGGAACUGUCCAUAGAUGAAACUUGGGUGAAUAAUCAGGUGGUGGCUGCUGAUGCAUUUGAACUUGGGCCAAGUCAGAGAGGAGGGUUCCUUGGGGUAGUGUUGUCCUCUACAUUUCCCCAUCCUGGACCAUAGCCUUUUUGACCUCACCUUAGCUAUGCAUUUGUUAUCAGGACAAUGAGUUGACAAGGGAGAAAAGAAUGGCUGAGGGCUGGUUCAGAAAUACAUGCUUUGAAAAAAAAGUUCAGAUGCCCAAAUAGCAGGGAAUCCAUUUAUAAUCACUUUCCUCCCAAUGGUUCUAUGCUGUCAGUAGUACCUUUAGAGCAUGAUUAUUUUUUCCAUAUUACAGAGGAUAAGUUGAAGCUCCCAGAAGGAUUUCCUUUGCUCCAGGACACUCAGCUGGUAAGCAGGAGAGUUCUGAUUCAACAAUCAGCAGAAUGUAUAACUUGGAUAAUAAAGCAUCCCAUGGAAGGACCUGGAUGGAAUCUUGGAUCUGUCAACUAUUUGCUGUAUGACCUUAGGAAGAGGAUGAGAACAGGGGAGCAGAGAGGAUUAUCACUCUAUAUCAAGAUCUACUCAAUGUGGAGAAAUCUGGAAAGCCAAGGAAGCGUGGUGAAGGACUUGGGAAGAGAUGAAUGGAGGCAGAAAGUGGGCAAAAAGAGGAAAUAGAUGAAGACACUACAGAAAAGAAAUCAUAAAUCUGGCAAGAGGGCAUGAUUUGGGAGGGAUGGAGAUUUUCCAUGAAAUGGACAUUUAUUUGUUGAACUUCUCUCAAUACCUAAAAGAGCCCAGCUAAUACUUUGUUCCCUUGUUUUAAGGACACUUUUGUCCAUCAAAAUGAAUGGAGGAAAUUGCUCUUUGAACAUGUAUCUGACCAAAAAAGAAGGAACUAGUUUAUGGGAUGUGAAUUAGGGGAAACCUAGUGGGGAAAACGACGACUUCUUCUCAGAAUGUGUGAUAAAGGAGAAAAAAACCAUGUGUAAGUCUGUCAUGUACCCAGAUUUGGGGAGAGCAGAUUUCAAAGGGUUUAGGAAAAGAUAUAGGAGAAUCCAUGAGCUAAGAAUUUAUGCAGAAAAUCAAGCCAGGAGGAAUGGGAAGCUUUUAUAAAUGAAAAUUUGAAAACACAAACAAAUUUCCAAAGAAGCAAAAGUUUCUUAAAAAAACGUAUGCGGAUGCAAAAGGAACUCAGGGGUUAAUUUAGAUUUGUAAAAGACAUGCCUAGAAGAUAGAAGCAAAGUCAGGUUACUCAGAAGGAAUAUAAAAGUGUGGCAUGUUCCAGUAGCAACAGUGUCAGGAACACUGAUGUUCAGAAUAUCCAUAGGUUUUAGAGGAUGC
rnacentral:lncRNA from 1 species